rnacentral:sRNA from 1 species
CGAUUACAUACAAGGCGAAUCGUCCCUAGCAGCUUUAGCUUCUUCACUUCCGGCCACCACCAGCGCCGGCGGAUCCUCUACUGCCGCGGAACAGGUCAUUGAUCUUAGCUUCAACGUCCUCAGUAGCAUACUUAAUGUACUUAUCAUGCCAUCCGAUUUCCGGAACAUUCGGAAACCUACCGAUGAAGCUCUGAUACGCUGGCAACAAGAUUUUGACAAGCGAAAUUAUCAAAUCGCCUCUGAGCUGAUCGUCGAAAACUACCCAAUUGGACUGCGUUUUACAGAUCUCGUCGAAGUAGAUGUUGAACAACUUGAGCUUCUCCUUCAUGGACUUGACCGCAGCACUUGGCGCCAAUGAGCCGCUAUCGAGCUUCAACACUCCAAGCACCUUGUUCCAUGAGCUUCUCUGGUAAUUCACAUGGUACUGCCGGACUUUCGCAGUGUGUUUUCGGAUCCAAUCAUCGCCCAAUAGCAAUCCCAACUCGCUGUCUUUCGCUUUCUGCACAAUGUACCUCCCAUUGUUCAUCAUGAAAACAUAGCACAAAGCAGAGUCCCGGUAAAUCUUUGACUUGGCUUCCAAAUUGCUCUCCAGAAGCUCCAUAAUCCACGCCAUUUGUACGGACAUGGACGAGCUUCGGUCAUCAACCUUGGGUUGAUGAGAGACCGCAGCACUGUCCUCGAAAACCUGCUCGAGGAUCUGGCGCGAUCGGCAAGCUGCCCGGAGAUAAUUCAUCACAUAUCGAGUGAUUGGAUGCAAUCCGCCGCCAGGAACUGGAGUUUUCGCAGGGUCGCGACUGAUCAGAUUCUCCAACUCCAUGAAAAUGCCUCUGAUCGCUUCGCCUAACCUUUUCCAAAUCGUAAUCGCUUCGUUCCGGAGAAACAAGCAGUACUGAUCGGAGAACACUGACUCGAAUUCGGGCAUCAAAUCCCGCAAAGUCUCGAACACGUCGAGAAUCCUGAACAAUCGCUCUGGCGAUCGGCUCCCUAUUGCCACCGCGUCGGCGAAAUUCAGUAUCUGAAUAGUCGAGCCUCGGCAAACCUCCAUGAACGAGAGGUCCGCGGCGGAGGAGAGGCCGUAGAAGAUGCGAUCGCAGAGUCGUCGCUCGCUCGGAAACAGAAUCCGAAGCGCGACGUUUGCUGAUUUGAUCCACCGCUCGAUUUCGUCCUCCAGGUCCUGCCAUGGCGUCUUCUGGACCUCUUCGAUGCUCAGCUUCUGCAACCCUAGCCUCGACAAGCUCUCUUCCAGGAACUCUCUCCGGCAGCUGGAGUACACGUGCGAGCACUCCUUUCCGAAACCCGCCGCCACCAUCCGCUUCGCGAUCUCAUGGAGGUCGUUGAUGGUUCCAGAAGGAAGCGCGUCGAUCACGAUGUCGUAGUCGCCAAUCGGCUGCGCAACAGGGAUCUGGUGUUCCUCACCGUCCCCGAUCACCUCCUCUUCUUCUUCAUCAUCAUCUCCGGAGUCAAACGACAACGCGCCAUUCGACUCGCCGCGAAACGCCCGAGUCAAUUCUCGUGACUCGGCGCCGCGUUCGACCAAGGAUCUGAACUCGUCCUCGAGCCGGAACAUAGCGUGCUGCAUAAGAUCCUCGGCGCCCGUCAGGCAGACGCUGACGGACUUGUCGUCGGCCAUCGGAGUCCAGUCUCUGAUGGUAACGAUGAGCUCGUCGAUCGAGUCAAGAAACGCCGCGGAAUCGGCGGAGUCGGACCAGAUUGGGUGGUCAGUGGCCACAUACUGCGAGAUCUGACGGUCCAGCGACUUCAGCGAAAGCUCGAGAGCAGCACAGCUCCGAGUUCGUUCGUCGUCGGAAGCCAAUUUCUCGCGAGAGAACCUACCGUCGAAGUUGGAAAAAAUCUGCAAAAUAUCGUCGGCCAUAUUAUCGUUGUGGCCCAGAGUCUUGGCUAUGUGGCGCGCCAUAGCCAACAAUUUCUCUUCGCCGUUCUCAGCCAUUGUACUGCAGUAUCAGAGAGUGCCCUCCAAGUGUUUGAUUUGAUGCCUCGGUGAAGAUAAACUUUUAGGGUUGUGAAAUUGAGAGGAAAAUUGGUUUUAAUUUUUGGGAUUUUUGGAUUUCAGAAUUUCAGAAUUCCGUUUUGGGUAUUAACCAAUAAGCAAUAAGCCAAAAGCCAGAAGCUAAAAGCACUGAGGGUGAGCAGAAGCAGUUGAAUAGUAUUAUUUAGAGGUUCGCGGAAGG